CCAGCCGAAGUUCAUCUGGAAGCGGAAGAGAAAAAGUACAAGGAUUUGCUUUAUCAGGCAAUAGGAGUGUAUCAAAGUCAUCGCCUUAUCCAACUCCUCUACAGCUAUCUGACGAAAUGCAAACUCCCGGAACUGUUUUUCCAGCAAACUUGGAUCAUGGGAAAGCAAGAAUCAGGUCCCAAUACGUUUAUUCAGUUAUGAACCCGGUUGAGAGUGCCGCUCAAUUGAAGGCACUGAAGGAAGAAGAUUCUAACCUGGAAGGAGUUUCAAAAGAAAUGGGAGAAUCUGUUGAAGAGCUUGAAAUGAUGACACCUAUGCCAGAAAGGAAUGUGAGAACAAAUACACGUGAGAAGGACUUGAUGGUGGAAGCAAGCUUGUCUGCUUGGUUGAAACCAGUAU
rnacentral:lncRNA from 1 species